AACUUUCGACAAUGGAUCUCUUGGCUCUCGCAUCGCUGAAGAACGCAGCGAAAUGCGAUAAGUAAUGUGAAUUGCAGAAUUCUGUGAAUCAUCGAAUCUUUGAACGCACCUUGCGUCCCUUGGCAUUCCGAGGGGCACACCCGUUUGAGUGUCGUGGAAUUAUCAAACCUACUUGGUUUCUUGAUCAAGAUGGCUUUGGACUUUGGAGGCAUUUUGCUGGCUUUGCGAAAAGCCAGCUCCUCUUAAAUACAUUAGUGGGAUCCCCUUUGCCGAUCCCCAGGCGUGAUAAGAUAUUUCUACGUCUUGGGAUUUGCUCUGUUCCUUGGGAACCCGCUUCCAACCGUCUCAUGGGAGACAUCGUUCGAGUUUGCUCGACCCACGAACCUUGACCUCAAAUCGGGUGAGACUACCCGCUGAACUUAAGCAUAUCAAUAAGCGGAGGCU
rnacentral:misc_RNA from 1 species